UCAUCUCCCUUUACGACCUGUUCUGAUUUGCUGAUAACGCAAUCUAGUGGUUUAGUUUUAUUAUCUAACCCUCCAUAUGAUGAAAUUCGUUGUUGCCACUUUUGCCUGUGUAUUGGCCGUCUCCAUGGCUGUUCCCAUGGGAGGUUUGGGGAUGUACGGCGCUGGUUUAGGAAUGUAUGGACCUUGGUCCGGAAUGUACGGUGGCCUAGGAAUGUAUGGCGGACUCGGAAUGUACGGAGGUCUUGGAAUGUAUGGCGGCCUUGGUGGUCUAGGGAUGUACGGAGCUGGUAUGGGACUGUACGGAGCUGGUAUGGGUAUGUACGGAGCUGGUCUGUACCCGGGAAUGAUGAUGGGAGGAAUGUACCCAGGAAUGUUGGCUGGUAUGAACUCUUAUGCUGGUAUGAUGGGAACUCAGUUUGGUAAUGUCAACAAUAACAACAUUGAUACCACGGUUUAAAAGUCAUAUCACCACGUUCAUAAAACAUACCAUUCAUUUUUAUCAAGAAAAGUGUCGGCAUUAUUUCUCUUAUUAUUAUCAUUAGAAUAAAUAAAUUAAAUGUUCAUCAACAAUUAAAAUUGAA